rnacentral:rRNA from 1 species
UACGUAGGUGGCGAGCGUUGUCCGGAUUUAUUGGGUUUAAAGGGUGCGUAGGCGGCUUUGUAAGUCAGUGGUGAAAUACUCCAGCUUAACUGGAGGGGUGCCAUUGAUACUGCGGAGCUUGAGUACAGAUGAGGUAGGCGGAAUUGACGGUGUAGCGGUGAAAUGCAUAGAUAUCAGGAGGAACACCGGCGGUGUAGACGGCUUACUGGACCAUGACUGACGCUGAGGCACGAAAGCGUGGGGAGCAAACAGG